rnacentral:lncRNA from 1 species
CACACACCUGGACACAAACACCUAGACACACACACCUGGACACACACACCUAGACGCACACACCUGGACGCACACACCUAGACAAACACACCUGGACACACACACCUAGACACACACACCUAGACACACACACCUGGACACACACACCUAGACACACACACCUGGACACACACACCUGGACACACACACGUAGACACACACACCUGGACACACACA